GAUGAACGCUGGCGGCGUGCCUAAUACAUGCAAGUCGAGCGAACAGAUGAGGAUUUUUCUCCUCUGACGUUAGCGGCGGACGGGUGAGUAACACGUGUAUAACCUACCUAUAAGACUGGGAUAACUUCGGGAAACCGGAGCUAAUACCGGAUAAUAUAUUGAACCGCAUGGUUCAAUAGUGAAAGACGGUUUUGCUGUCACUUAUAGAUGGAUCCGCGCCGCAUUAGCUAGUUGGUAAGGUAACGGCUUACCAAGGCAACGAUGCGUAGCCGACCUGAGAGGGUGAUCGGCCACACUGGAACUGAGACACGGUCCAGACUCCUACGGGAGGCAGCAGUCGGGAAUCUUCCGCAAUGGGCGAAAGCCUGACGGAGCAACGCCGCGUGAGUGAUGAAGGUCUUCGGAUCGUAAAACUCUGUUAUUAGGGAAGAACAAAUGUGUAAGUAACUAUGCACGUCUUGACGGUACCUAAUCAGAAAGCCACGGCUAACUACGUG
rnacentral:rRNA from 1 species